rnacentral:lncRNA from 1 species
GAUUUGAUAACUUCGAAGAAGCUUUAAAGACGAUGAGAUUAAUAGGGUUUAGUCCUUUGAAAGCACAAUUUGUUUUGGCCAUUGUUGCAGUGUGUUAGACUCAGUGUGAAAGAAAUGUUAAGUUGUAUAUGAAGUGAGGUUUGUCAGAGGAGGAGAUUUGGUUAGUGUUUCAUAGAUUUCUACGAUUUAUGGUUGCAUUCGAGAAUAAGAUUAUGGCAGUAAUGGAGUAUGUUGUGAAUGAAAUGGGGUUUCGAUCUUCGAAAAUAAACGAGCAACUUGUGAUUUUGAUUAUUUUGAUGCAGGUCUAGAGAUAAGAU